CAGAUUGUAGCUUAUUUAUAAAGCUUUUUACUUACACUAAUAGGAAAACUAACGUUUAAUCUGA
rnacentral:tRNA from 1 species